rnacentral:rRNA from 1 species
UACGUAGGGUGCAAGCGUUGUCCGGAAUUAUUGGGCGUAAAGAGCUCGUAGGCGGUUUGCCGCGUCUGCUGUGAAAACCCGAGGCUCAACCUCGGGCCUGCAGUGGGUACGGGCAGACUAGAGUGCGGUAGGGGAGAGUGGAAUUCCUGGUGUAGCGGUGGAAUGCGCAGAUAUCAGGAGGAACACCAAUGGCGAAGGCAGAUCUCUGGGCCGUAACUGACGCUGAGGAGCGAAAGCAUGGGGAGCGAACAGG